rnacentral:rRNA from 1 species
CCCUUCGGGGCGAGUAGAGUGGCGCACGGGUGAGUAACACGUAGGUAAUCUACCUCCGGGUGGGGAAUAACGACCGGAAACGGUCGCUAAUACCGCAUAACGCAGCGGCACCACAUGGUGACAGUUGUUAAAGCGGGGGAUCGUAAGACCUCGCGCCUGGAGAUGAGCCUGCGGCGGAUUAGCUAGUUGGCGGGGUAACGGCCCACCAAGGCGACGAUCCGUAGCCGGCCUGAGAGGGCGGACGGCCACACUGGCACUGACAUACGGGCCAGACUCCUACGGGAGGCAGCAGUCGGGAAUUUUGGGCAAUGGGCGCAAGCCUGACCCAGCAACGCCGCGUGAAGGAUGAAGCUUUUCGGAGUGUAAACUUCAUAAGAAUGGGACGAAUAAAGAUGAGCCAACACCUCAUCCGAUGACGGUACCAUUUGUAAGCUCCGGCUAACUCCGUGCCAGCAGCCGCGGUAAUACGGGGGGAGCAAGCGUUGUUCGGAUUUACUGGGCGUAAAGGGCGCGUAGGCGGCGCAACAAGUCACUUGUGAAAUCUCCGGGCUUAACCCGGAGCGGCCAAGUGAUACUGUCGUGCUAGAGUGCGGAAGGGGCUACUGGAAUUCUCGGUGUAGCGGUGAAAUGCGUAGAUAUCGAGAGGAACACCUGCGGCGAAGGCGGGUAGCUGGGCCGACACUGACGCUGAGGCGCGAAAGCCAGGGGAGCGA